rnacentral:rRNA from 1 species
GUGGGGAAUUUUGGACAAUGGGCGCAAGCCUGAUCCAGCAAUGCCGCGUGUGUGAAGAAGGCCUUCGGGUUGUAAAGCACUUUUGUCCGGAAAGAAAACCGCCUGGCUAAUAUCCGGGUGGGAUGACGGUACCGGAAGAAUAAGCACCGGCUAACUACGUGCCAGCAGCCGCGGUAAUACGUAGGGUGCGAGCGUUAAUCGGAAUUACUAGGCGUAAAGCGUGCGCAGGCGGUUUUGUAAGCCAGAUGUGAAAUCCCCGGGCUUAACCUGGGAAUGGCAUUUGGGACUGCAAGGCUCGAGUUUGGCAGAGGAGACUGGAAUUCCUGGUGUAGCAGUGAAAUGCGUAGAUAUCAGGAGGAAUACCGAUGGCGAAGGCAGGUCUCUGGGCUGAAACUGACGCUCAUGCACGAAAGCGUGGGGAGCAAAC